UUCUACAUGGUUUUGAUUCUUGCUGCCAUUUUGCUGUUUCAAAAUCUCUGCAGCUAAUUUCUCGUAAUCGAUGUUUAGUGGUUGCUUGACUGCUUUCGCCGACUUGGUUAUCAAUUUUCGUUCUUUUUGAUUUUUUUGCAGACUCGUUUGCGGCUGGCCGCUUCCGCGGCAUGGUUACAACUGAGGAAAAUGCAACUAUUAUUAUAGUUACAAUGUAUCGAAAUAGCAAUAUUUAGUGGGAAGUUCCCAGGUAUCUUCCACUAGUGACAGUCUACUGGUAAAUCCAGACAUGCAUUGGUAGGAUGCUGAUGUGGAGGACACGGGAACACCUUAUCCAAGAAAUGUGGAUUUCAUUCGGAGCGACAACCGGACAUUCAAUUUGAGAUAUGGGACCCAAUUAUUCAGAGUUCUGCAGCUUUUAUGAAGCUGUUUUUGACAGAAGAUUUGGUUUUCUCCAUCUCUGUUGUCACCAACCAUUAUGCUGAGAUGGCCAUAUCUAAGGGAAAGGGUUGUCAUAAGCUUUCCAAGGAAGUUCACAGCCUCUCACCGAAGAGGAACUGUACAGGGAUUGCUAGUUUUGAAGUACCGAUAUUGUGACAGUGAUUGCCAGCUAAAAUGAAUAACAAAAUGCAUUAUUAUAAGAUUACCUUUACCAAAAUUAAUCUGGCUGUGCAUCUAACACUUUUUUGAAAUGUGCACUACCAUUACCUCUUAUAAAAUUUCAUAAGUAAUUAAACGCAUAUUUUUUUUUAUAGAAAACAUUUACAGAGCCAAUUGAGCAUUCAAAAGCUCUGGCAAUACAUUAUUACUUGGGGCUAAAUAUAAGAAAUACUUCCCCCCAGAUUUUUGGGCAUUAUCUUAUAUAUGUCUGCUGUGAAGUUCCAGUCGAUAGACAGAUAUUGGUCAACACAUGCCCCUAUCGGAACAACCCAGUAUCAAGAAUUAUGUCUAGAAAUAGGGUUUCAGAGGUUGAAUAUAAACAGAAAUUUUUUGUUAAAUAUGAUGCAAGUGCAUUUACAUUUCGUGAUUGAGAGUAAGUACUGGAACAUUCGCAUACAUUGAACUUUAAGAGGAAAACAGGUAGAACUUUUUGAUAACAUUUGAUAUGUUGUUGUUGCUUAGCAACCAAAUAUAUUUGAAUAUGAAAAAUUAAAUCUUAUUAGAUUAACAGUAAAGAUUUUUGUUUUAAUGUUGCAAUAUUUAUUCUAUUUAGUGGAACAUAAUGGUAAAACGUCAUUUUAUUAGAAAAUGAUGGAUAUGUAUAUAAAGUACGAAGUUUCCAUUUUAUGACCUUAAUUCUGUUCCUCAUAUUUUUGUUAAAAACCUUUUAAAAUGAUGAAGAUCUAUUGUAAUAUUAUAUUUUUAAAAUGUACUAAUCAUCAUGCAAUGUAAUUAUGUUUAAAUUGUGUCGAAUAGAUGCAGAGAGGUAAAUUAUGGUCAAAAUUGUACCAUGCGUGUUGUUACUUAGUAAUCAAAAUAUUUGUUUAUCGAUAAAAUUGAUUAAUUUGA